UACAGAGGGUGCGAGCGUUGUCCGGAAUCACUGGGCGUAAAGGGCGCGUAGGUGGCGCGACAAGUCAGUGGUGAAAGCUCGAUGCUUAACAUCGAGUCGGCCACUGAUACUGUUGGGCUUGAGCACCGUAGAGGCUAAUGGAAUUCCGGGUGUAGCGGUGGAAUGCGUAGAGAUCCGGAAGAACACCGGUGGCGAAGGCGGUUAGCUGGGCAGUUGCUGACACUGAGGCGCGACAGCGUGGGGAGCAAACAGGG
rnacentral:rRNA from 1 species